rnacentral:rRNA from 1 species
UACGUAGGGGGCAAGCGUUGUCCGGAUUUAUUGGGCGUAAAGAGCGUGUAGGCGGCUUUACAGGUCCGUUGUGAAAACUCGAGGCUUAACCUCGAGCUGUCGGCGGAAACCAUCUGGCUAGAGUCCGGAAGAGGAGAAUGGAAUUCCCGGUGUAGCGGUGAAAUGCGCAGAUAUCGGGAAGAACACCCGUGGCGAAGGCGGUUCUCUGGGACGGUACUGACGCUGAGGUGCGAAAGCGUGGGGAGCAAACAGG